AGUUUGAUCCUGGCUCAGAUUGAACGCUGGCGGCAUGCCUUACACAUGCAAGUCGAACGGCAGCGGGCCUUCGGGUGCCGGCGAGUGGCGAACGGGUGAGUAAUGCAUCGGAACGUGCCAUUGAGUGGGGAUAACGUAGCGAAAGUUGCGCUAAUACCGCAUAUUCUGUGAGCAGGAAAGCAGGGGACCGCAAGGCCUUGCGCUCUUUGAGCGGCCGAUGUCAGAUUAGCUAGUUGGUGAGGUAAAGGCUUACCAAGGCGACGAUCUGUAGCGGGUCUGAGAGGAUGAUCCGCCACACUGGAACUGAGACACGGUCCAGACUCCUACGGGAGGCAGCAGUGGGGAGUUUUGGACAAUGGGCGCAAGCCUGAUCCAGCCAUUCCGCGUGAGUGAAGAAGGCCUUCGGGUUGUAAAGCUCUUUCGCAAGGAAAGAAAACUUAUCUCCUAAUACGAGGUGAGGUUGACGGUACCUUGAUAAGAAGCACCGGCUAACUACGUG
rnacentral:rRNA from 1 species